rnacentral:sRNA from 1 species
GGCCUUCCCACAACGGGUUCUCCCGCCUC